GACGAACGCUGGCGGCGUGCUUAACACAUGCAAGUCGAACGGUGAAGGGACUGGUUUUGCUGGUCCUGGAUGAGUGGCGAACGGGUGAGUAACACGUGAGUAACCUGCCCCCUUCUUCCGGAUAACCGCAUGAAAGUGUGGCUAAUACGGGAUAUUCUGGGUCUGUCGCAUGGUGGGCCUGGGAAAGAUUGCGCCUUUUUUGGUGUUUUUGGUGGGGGAUGGGCUCGCGGCCUAUCAGCUUGUUGGUGGGGUGAUGGCCUACCAAGGCGGUGACGGGUAGCCGGCCUGAGAGGGUGGACGGUCACACUGGGACUGAGACACGGCCCAGACUCCUAGGGGGGGCAGCAGUGGGGAAUAUUGCACAAUGGGCGAAAGCCUGAUGCAGCGACGCCGCGUGAGGGAUGGAGGCCUUCGGGUUGUGAACCUCUUUCGCCAGUGAAGCAGGCCUGCCUCUUUUUGUGGGUGGGUUGACGGUAGCUGGAUAAGAAGCGCCGGCUAACUACGUG
rnacentral:rRNA from 1 species